rfam:Schistosoma mansoni strain Puerto Rico chromosome 4, complete genome
AUUAUAAGAAGAGUCCCAAAUAGGACGAAACUCGCGUCCUCGAU